GAUGAACGCUGGCGGCGUGCCUAAUACAUGCAAGUCGAGCGAAAAGACGAGGACUUUGCUCCUUAGACGAUUGCGGAGGACGGGAGAGUAACACGGGGAAAACCCACCUAACAGCCUGGGAUAACUGCGGAAAACCGGCGCUUACAGCGGAGAACAGCAUGAACCGCAUGGUUUAAUAGGGAAAGAGGGUUUGGCUGUGCCCUAUAGCUAGCACCGUGUUGCAUUAGCUAGGUGCUAGGGUAACGGCUUACGAAGGCGACGAUGCGUAGCCGAACUGAGAGGGUGAUCGGCCACACUGGAACUGAGACGCGGUCCAGACUCCUACGGGAGGCAGCAGUAGGGAAUGUUCCGCAAUGGGCGAAAGCCUGACGGAGCGGCGCCGCGUGAGUGAUGAAGGUCUUCGGAUCGUAAAACUCUGUUAUUAGGGAAGAACAAAUGUGUAAGUAACUAUGCACGUCUUGACGGUACCUAGUCAGAAAGCCACGGCUAACUACGUG
rnacentral:rRNA from 1 species